GACGAACGCUGGCGGCGUGCCUAACACAUGCAAGUCGAACGAGGUCCAUGCAGUGGCAACACUGCGGAAGACCUAGUGGCGAACGGGUGAGUAACACGUGAGGAACCUGCCCCGAAGACCGGGAUAACCCUCCGAAAGGAGAGCUAAUACCGGAUACCCCCACCGGAUCGCAUGAUCUGGUGAGGAAAUGGAUUCCGCUUCGGGAGGGCCUCGCGGCCUAUCAGCUAGUUGGUGGGGUAACGGCCCACAAGGCAUCGACGGGUAGCUGGUCUGAGAGGACGAUCAGCCACACUGGGACUGAGACACGGCCCAGACUCCUACGGGAGGCAGCAGUGGGAAUAUUGCGCAAUGGGCGAAAGCCUGACGCAGCAACGCCGCGUGAGGGAUGACGGCCUCGGUUGUAACGUACUUUCUAACGCACGGGAAGAAG
rnacentral:rRNA from 1 species